rnacentral:piRNA from 1 species
UCCCAUAUGGGUCCUAAAGUGGUUGGAUUC